rnacentral:rRNA from 1 species
UAGAUUAGGUAAAGUUUGUAGUUAUGGGAAUAGUAGAGUUCUUGAAAUUAAAAAAGCUUGGCGGUAAGUUAGUCUAUCUAGAGGAAUCUGUACUGUAAAUGAUACUCCACAAAGACUUUACUUGGGGAAAUGCUUGUAUACCGCCGUAUUAAGAAUUAUUUAAAAAGAUAUUUUCAUAAAGAGGAGUUAAGGAAUUCAGGUCAAGGUGCAGCUGUAAUACUCAAGGAGGUUAUGGAUUACAAUAAAAGGAUUUAAUAAUGGAGAAUUUAUUGAAAUAUAAGUGGGAAGGUGGAUUUAGAUGUAAAUUUUUAAUAAGAUGGAAAAUUGAAUCAGAUUUAACUUAUGC